rnacentral:rRNA from 3 species
GGACCGAACCGACUAAUGUUGAAAAAUUAGCGGAUGACCUGUGGCUGGGGGUGAAAGGCCAAUCAAACCGGGAGAUAGCUGGUUCUCCCCGAAAGCUAUUUAGGUAGCGCCUCGUGAAUUCAUCUCCGGGGGUAGAGCACUGUUUCGGCUAGGGGGCCAUCCCGGCUUACCAACCCGAUGCAAACUGCGAAUACCGGAGAAUGUUAUCACGGGAGACACACGGCGGGUGCUAACGUCCGUCGUGAAGAGGGAAACAACCCAGACCGCCAGCUAAGGUCCCAAAGUCAUGGUUAAGUGGGAAACGAUGUGGGAAGGCCCAGACAGCCAGGAUGUUGGCUUAGAAGCAGCCAUCAUUUAAAGAAAGCGUAAUAGCUCACUGGUCGAGUCGGCCUGCGCGGAAGAUGUAACGGGGCUAAACCAUGCACCGAAGCUGCGGCAGCGACACUGUGUGUUGUUGGGUAGGGGAGCGUUCUGUAAGCCUGUGAAGGUGUGUCGUGAGGCAUGCUGGAGGUAUCAGAAGUGCGAAUGCUGACAUAAGUAACGAUAAAGCGGGUGAAAAGCCCGCUCGCCGGAAGACCAAGGGUUCCUGUCCAACGUUAAUCGGGGCAGGGUGAGUCGACCCCUAAGGCGAGGCCGAAAGGCGUAGUCGAUGGGAAACGGGUUAAUAUUCCCGUACUUGGUGUUACUGCGAAGGGGGGACGGAGAAGGCUAUGUUGGCCGGGCGACGGUUGUCCCGGUUUAAGCGUGUAGGUGUGUGUUCCAGGUAAAUCCGGUUCACUUUAACACUGAGGCGUGACGACGAGGCACUACGGUGCUGAAGCAACAAAUGCCCUGCUUCCAGGAAAAGCCUCUAAGCAUCAGGUAACAUCAAAUCGUACCCCAAACCGACACAGGUGGUCAGGUAGAGAAUACCAAGGCGCUUGAGAGAACUCGGGUGAAGGAACUAGGCAAAAUGGUGCCGUAACUUCGGGAGAAGGCACGCUGACACGUAGGUGAAGUGAUUUACUCAUGGAGCUGAAGUCAGUCGAAGAUACCAGCUGGCUGCAACUGUUUAUUAAAAACACAGCACUGUGCAAACACGAAAGUGGACGUAUACGGUGUGACGCCUGCCCGGUGCCGGAAGGUUAAUUGAUGGGGUCAGCGCAAGCGAAGCUCCUGAUCGAAGCCCCGGUAAACGGCGGCCGUAACUAUAACGGUCCUAAGGUAGCGAAAUUCCUUGUCGGGUAAGUUCCGACCUGCACGAAUGGCGUAAUGAUGGCCAGGCUGUCUCCACCCGAGACUCAGUGAAAUUGAACUCGCUGUGAAGAUGCAGUGUACCCGCGGCAAGACGGAAAGACCCCGUGAACCUUUACUAUAGCUUGACACUGAACAUUGAGCCUUGAUGUGUAGGAUAGGUGGGAGGCUUUGAAGUGUGGACGCCAGUCUGCAUGGAGCCGACCUUGAAAUACCACCCUUUAAUGUUUGAUGUUCUAACGUGGACCCGUUACCCGGGUUGCGGACAGUGUCUGGUGGGUAGUUUGACUGGGGCGGUCUCCUCCUAAAGAGUAACGGAGGAGCACGAAGGUUGGCUAAUCCUGGUCGGACAUCAGGAGGUUAGUGCAAUGGCAUAAGCCAGCUUGACUGCGAGCGUGACGGCGCGAGCAGGUGCGAAAGCAGGUCAUAGUGAUCCGGUGGUUCUGAAUGGAAGGGCCAUCGCUCAACGGAUAAAAGGUACUCCGGGGAUAACAGGCUGAUACCGCCCAAGAGUUCAUAUCGACGGCGGUGUUUGGCACCUCGAUGUCGGCUCAUCACAUCCUGGGGCUGAAGUAGGUCCCAAGGGUAUGGCUGUUCGCCAUUUAAAGUGGUACGCGAGCUGGGUUUAGAACGUCGUGAGACAGUUCGGUCCCUAUCUGCCGUGGGCGCUGGAGAACUGAGGGGGGCUGCUCCUAGUACGAGAGGACCGGAGUGGACGCAUCACUGGUGUUCGGGUUGUCAUGCCAAUGGCACUGCCCGGUAGCUAAAUGCGGAAGAGAUAAGUGCUGAAAGCAUCUAAGCACGAAACUUGCCCCGA